CUAUUGGGUGUUGGACAACUAUAGGCAAAACUGAAAUGGAACAGGGGCAGAAAAUAGCACACUUUUACGCCACGCAACCGUUGCUUUCGCAUGGUGAGUGCAGAUUUAAGAUAUUACUUAAAGUCUACUUUCUGUGUUGUAAAACAAGUAGAGAAAUCUGUUGUGCUUUGAAGGGAAUGAUAGCAGGAGCCUUUCUUAAAAGUUCUAAGUGAUCUGGUUUUGUUUCUGCUUGAUCUCACAUUAAACUUGGCAAUGCUAACAGAGAAACACAAUAUUUGUAUUGUCUUGGUGUCCUUUUUCUUAAAAUUGUCCUUUUGUUUAAAUCAUGCGUCUCUCCAACCUGAAUAAAUAUUGUUUUAGGCAAAUCAGGGGUGGAAUAGGUAAUGAAGGAACAGCGGUGUGACAAUACAUGUAAACAUUUCACUUAGUCCAACUUUGUGUCACUUCUCCACGGCUUCACAUUUUGCCGCCUUAUCUCAGGAAUAUAUAGCACAGUCUGUAUGAAAAGAGCUUUGUGUGAGAAUUCCAGAGAGUUAAAGGGUCAGGGCCUGUGUGUUAUCUGACUGCCAGCAAGACUCACUGGGUUGUCCUCUUAUUUUUAAUCUAAAAUAGGGAAAAAGUGCAUCUUUACAUAUUAAAAAGUAAGUGUGUUUUGAUUCCAAUAGUUGCCUUCUUAUAGUUUAUGGUUGUUAUUCCUGGCAAAGGAUUAUUUAAGCUUCUUUCGAGAAGCAGCAUGCAAACUUCUUUUGUUUCUUUCUGUCUUGUUUGAUCACAUUUCACUGCAGAAAUUUUGCACAUUUUUUUUAAAAUAAUAAUUAUCUCGAAACAAUACCAAGUGGUUUUUAUUUCAGUGCAAAUAUCUUGGCAAUUAGUAAGCUUGCUUUUCCUGGGGAAAAAUACCUGAGAGUAAAUCGUGCUUAAUUCUUAGUUUAGCCAUACUUAUAGUCCUAUUUUAAAUGUGUUUCUUUAAAAAAAAAAUCAGAAUCUAGGGGAAGUAUUACUAGAAUGUUACAGAAGAGAUUCUUCUGCAAAAACUGCAAAUUCAGUAUUAUAAUUUUAAUGAGUUCCAAAUAUUAUCGCUAUUGUUGACUUUGUUUAAAAAGCAUUUUUAUUAACAAAGUGACUGCAUUAGAUGUUACCAAAUGAAUGAAGUGAAAACUGUGUCUUCCAUCCUGCUGAUUUGAUAGAAUAUAGAGGUCUGCAUUGUUAUUGUGUUUCAUAUUCAUUUAAACUUUUUAAAGAGCACCUCUGUAAUACCCAUUUUGAAUAAUCAUUUAAAAAUGAAAUAUACUAAACUAAGCUUCUUAUAUUUUAAGAUUUAUAGUUUCUGUUUCAUAAAGUAAAUUAAUAAAUGGAUGAAAUAUAUUGGAGUAAUUGUGAAGUUAUAAAAACUUUACAAUAAAGGGAGGAAAGCUUUUCAGGGAGAAUGAAUAUGUUUUCGCUUAUACAGCAGUUUUGAAAUAUUACUUAGCUCUCUUCUUUGCUAAAUAUUUAUGGAGAACUUAGCUGUUGUAGAACUAAGUAAUAAUCUUGACUUUAACACAAAACUAUCUAAAAGAAGGAUACUUAUUUUUGAGCUCUGCUUGUGAUUUGAUAUAAGCUUCUUUCAACAAUUGCAAAAUGUGGCUGGCAAAUUCCUUUCUAAGAGAACAAGUUCAUUAUGCUCAUCACCUGUUACAUUCAUUCUUUCUUUGCCCACAUACACAGUUCCUAGCUGUUUACUAGUGCCAUAGGAAAGUGAAAACCUUUCCUUUUUUUUUUAAGAGAAAAUGUUGAAGUUUUUAUUUGCAUGAACAUUUUGGGGCUUUUCAAAUGAUGUUCUUGUCAACAUUACCCAAAGUGUUUUUAAUAAGGUCUUUUGUUGUGAUCUUGAUAUGAAUGGUCAAAACCGGAGAUGUAAAUUGUUUGGGUUUUUCUUCUAAUGUGUCUCAGUAAGUGCAGUUAAGGUGUGACUGAGGAUUUAUGAACAGCUUUGACAAAAAAAUGAGCCUUUUGAAAAUUUUUCCCUUUGCUACAAAGAUUAUUUUUAAAAAAAUGUUUACUGCAUACCUAUUCCCUCCAAACCGAUCCAGAGACCAAAAAUUAAAGAGAACUUCAUUAUUCUCCUCAGUUGUGUACUAACAACAACUCAGGAAGUUACCCUGCUAUGGGGAGGGGCUGCAAAGGAAUGGGGUUUGUUCUAAGUUCAUACAUUGUCAUAAAAGAAAAAAGAGCUACUGCUAAAUUUUACUAACAUUUAUCUUAAACUGUUAUCUUCAGUCUUUUGCAUUUUUAUUUACUUAUUGAUUGGUUACUGAGGUGAAGUCAUCUUUUAAAAACCAUAAUCAAUCAUAGCAUUACUUUAAAACCAUGCUUUUAAAAAGAAUAUGAAUAUAUAUAAACAUACUUAUGUAAGACUAAUUUUGCAUGGAUGUUUAAAUUCUGUACUAGAUUAAUAGGAAACAAUGGAACUAUAUUUACAGAUUAAUAUAACUGGAAUGUGUGUGUGUGUGUGUGUGUGUUUGCAAUUAUAAUCUCACAGGCAAGAGUGACAGAGUGGUCUGGACAUAUGCUAAGGUUAUGACACUCUUUGACUUACUUCUUUAAAUCUCAUGGUCACUAAAUUUCUGGGGUUUUUUUCCUGUGUGCUGGUAGCACUAGACAUCUGUUGCAGUGAAUUUAUGCCUUCUCUACUGAGUAUAAAUAUCAUAUUGCCUGUAUCCUCUUUUCAAUUACACUCAUCAAUUUGUUUUAAGAGAUGAUUUAUUCUAUCAAAAUAUAGGAAAGAAUCUGGAGAAUUAGAUUCUAUCAUCUCUGACAAAUUAUGAAUCCUCAAAGGCUUUCCUAGAGAGUAGCCGUGUGGUUUUUAUUAUUCUCCUUUAUUAUUCUGCAUAGUGGUUGUCCAUUUUUUCUAGCCACUUUGAUCUUAGGACUCUACAGAAUUUUCUUCUCAAACAUGGUUCCUUUUCCCUUUAGCUCUAAUCUCUUUUUCUGGAACAUCCUAAUAUAUGUAUGUUGAAUCUUCACAGUAUAUCAUACAUAUUUCUUGAAUUCUUUCAUAGUAUGUUAUGUAAUCUUUCUGUGCUGCAUUUUUUUUGUGAUUUACUCAAGAAAUAUCUUCCAGUUUACUAAUUCUUGUUUUGACUAUAUCCACUCUGGAAUUUUUUUCCAUUAUAUUUUUCCCUGGGAAUCUAAUUGAUUAUUUUCUUAUGCCACUCACCUUAUCUGCUUACCUUUACUUUCUUAUAAAUUGUAUUGAUGUUACUUUCUUACUUUGUCUCUUUAAGACCACUAACAUGGUUUUUACAAAAAUCUGGAAUUGAUCUAUUAUUUUCAUGUCAUCAGGAAUGACUGCAUUGACUAACUUUUUAAAAUUUUUCUGGCAGGCUUUUUAUAUGAUUUUGCAUGUCUUGGAAUUUUGGUUUUCAGUCUCAACUUGAAUGAGAGGGAUUUUUAAAAAUUCUCUCUCUCUUUCUUUGUUACCUCUACCACUCUUAGGAUCCUAGAGUUGGCCCUGCAUAGUCUCCAUCCCCAGAUCAGACUCUCGGAUAAUGGGGAUAUCAUAUAUCUAGUCAUCAAGUCAAAUAACAGUUUGUUUCAGGCGCUGAUGGCCAGAUUAUGGCUGCUGUCUCUAGCCUCCCUGCUAAGUAGCUCUAUGUAAACCAUGGCUCUGCGGUUGGUCAGCUAUUCAGCUUUUCUGUUGUCUUACACUCAAGUUUUAAUCAGCAAACGUGGCACUGAUUUUCACUCCUUGUGGGGGCAAGUGUGGAACCCUAGUUACCUUAGAGACAGGGAAAUGCUUGCCUCUUAUUCCAAAAAACCAACUGGUGCAGCUGAUGCCCACUUCCUAUUUCUAUUCUAUCUCUCGUCCACAGAAGGACCUGGCUUGUUUUUGACGUCACUUUUACAUGACCUCAUUUAAUAUUUUCUCUAUUUAUCUGUUAUAUGUUGGAAACAAAGGAAAGAUGUCCAAACCAUGUUCUUGACAUCUUGAAAAGUUUCCCAGACCUUGGGCUUUGGAACAAAAAACAUGGGCUCAAAUUCUGACUUACUUAUUAACUCUGUUACCUAAGGAAAAUCUUUAAUUUCUUAAAAGUUUCCUUCUUUGCAUCAAACAAUGCUUACUUCAUAAUGCUUUCUAAGCAAUGAAUGAGAUAAUGUAUGAAAAUUAGCCCUGUGCUUAAUCAUAUUGAAUAUGAAAAUUCUAGGGAGAGUAAAAACAAGCAAAACCCAAAUAAAAGCAGUCUCUACCAAUCAUGGAGUGAAGGAAUGG
rnacentral:lncRNA from 1 species